AAUGGGCGAAAGCCUGAUCCAGCCAUGCCGCGUGUGUGAAGAAGGUCUUCGGAUUGUAAAGCACUUUAAGUUGGGAGGAAGGGCUGUAAAUUAAUACUUUGCUGUUUUGACGUUACCGACAGAAUAAGCACCGGCUAACUCUGUGCCAGCAGCCGCGGUAAUACGA
rnacentral:rRNA from 1 species